rnacentral:rRNA from 1 species
GUGUCAGCAGCCGCGGUAAUACGGAGGGUGCAAGCGUUGUCCGGAUUUAUUGGGUUUAAAGGGUGCGUAGGCGGCCCGUUAAGUCAGUGGUGAAAUCCCAGGGCUCAACCCUGGAACUGCCAUUGAUACUGACGGGCUUGAGUUCGGUUAAGGCGGGCGGAACUGGUGGUGUAGCGGUGAAAUGCAUAGAUACCACCAAGAACCCCGAUUGCGUAGGCAGCUCGCUGAGCCGAAACUGACGCUGAGGCACGAAAGCGUGGGGAGCGAACAGGAUUAGAUACCCUGGUAGUCC